rnacentral:rRNA from 1 species
UACGUAGGGUGCAAGCGUUGUCCGGAAUUAUUGGGCGUAAAGAGCUCGUAGGCGGUCUGUCGCGUCUGCUGUGAAAACUCGGGGCUUAACCCCGGGCCUGCAGUGGGUACGGGCAGACUAGAGUGCGGUAGGGGAGACUGGAAUUCCUGGUGUAGCGGUGAAAUGCAUAGAUAUCGUAAGGAAGACCAGUGGCGAAGGCGGGUCUCUGGACAGUUCCUGACGCUGAGGCACGAAGGCCAGGGGAGCAAACGGG